AAAGCAUCUUCCUUGUGGUCCUUCUGACACCCACUCAAGCUACAAGAUGUUCUUUACCCUAUUCCAGAAGCCCUGUCCUGGAUGGAAGCAAAGCUACCUGCUGUCAGUGUUGGUAAUUCACAACAACUCUGGAAACCUUAGAAGAAGAGGUAACAUGGGCAUCUCUGCAUCAUACCUCCAAUGUUUAUCAGCCCUUUCUGAAUUGCACUGCUGCUCUCUUGAAGGCUUGACAGAAGCUACAUACUGUGUGCCUGAGGAAGGCUUGAACAUCACACCAAAACAAGAACAAUUUCCACUUUCUCACUGCCUGUCUUACAGCAAAGAAGGGAGAUCAAGACCAGUAACCAUACAGGACAAAAUCUGACUGUAAGAAUCUGUUG
ensembl:lncRNA